ensembl:rRNA 5S_rRNA 5S ribosomal RNA
GCUUACGGCCAUACCAAUCUGACAAAGCCUGAUCUCAUCUGACCUCGGAAGCAAAGCAGAGUUGGGCCUGGUUAGUACAUGUUUGGGAGACUGACUGGGAAUACUAGGUGCUGUAAACU